rnacentral:rRNA from 1 species
CGCAUCUGUGCAUGCAGCAUAUCAUAAGCGGAGGAAAAGAAACUAACAAGGAUUCCCUUAGUAACGGCGAGUGAAGCGGGAAGAGCUCAAAUUUGAAAUCUUCAAGGUUCUACCUUGACGAAUUGUAGUUUAAAGAAGUGUUUUCUGUUAGUGGAGUGGCAAAAGUUCUUUGGAAUAGGACAUCAUAGAGGGUGAGAAUCCCGUACUUGGUCAUUCCUUCUAGCUUUGUGAUACACUUUCAAAGAGUCGGAUUGUUUGGGAAUGCAGUCCAAAAUGGGUGGUAAAUUUCAUCUAAAGCUAAAUAUUGGCGAGAGACCGAUAGCGAACAAGUACCGUGAGGGAAAGAUGAAAAGAACUUUGAAAAGAGAGUUAAACAGUACGUGAAAUUGUCAAAAGGGAAGCGUUUGACACCAGUGUUGUUUUUCUGAAAAUCAAUUAAAGAACUGUUUAUGCUAAGUUGUUUAGACUUUAUCAGCUAACUGUUUAGUUUUGAGCUUUUCUUUAAUGCACUUUUCAGUUAACAAGUCAACAUCAAUUUCUUUUGCUGUAAAAAAGCUUGAGGAAGGUGGCUUGAGAUUCGUCUUAAGUGUUUAUAGCCUCUUGCCUAUGCAGUCGGAGAGAUUGAGGUCUGCAGCGUAGAUCCUUCGGGGCUAAAUGCAUUUGUGCUAAGUUAUAGCAUUUUAUAGACAACUUGUUGACUAUGAUUUGUCUUGUAGCUUACUCGCUUAUGUUAUUUUACCUACGCUUAGGAUGUUGAGCGCAUGUCUCUCUCU